CCUACGGGUGGCAGCAGUGAGGAAUAUUGGUCAAUGGGCGCGAGCCUGAACCAGCCAAGUCGCGUGAGGGAAGACGGCCCUACGGGUUGUAAACCUCUUUUGCCGGGGAGCAACGUGCGCCACGUGUGGCGCCACUGAGAGUACCCGGAGAAAAAGCAUCGGCUAACUCCGUGCCCGCAGCCGCGGUAAUACGGGGGAUGCGAGCGUUAUCCGGUUUUAUUGGGUUUACAGGGUGCGUAGGCGGAGCUUUAAGGCAGUGGUCAAAUUGAGGGGUUAAACCCCUUCCCGCCAUUGAAACUGGCGCUCUUGAGUGGAAGAGAAGUAUGCGGAAUGCGUGGUGUAGCGGUGAAAUGCAUAGAUAUCACGCAGAACCCCGAUUGCGAAGGCAGCAUGCCGGCUUCCGACUGACGCUGAAGCACGAAAGCGUGGGGAUCGAACAGGAUUAGAUACCCCGGUAGUC
rnacentral:rRNA from 1 species